rnacentral:rRNA from 1 species
GAUCAUGGCUCAGAUUGAACGCUGGCGGCGUGCUUAACACAUGCAAGUCGAACGAAGCACUUUAUUACAAUUUCUUCGGAAUGACGAUUUAGUGACUGAGUGGCGGACGGGUGAGUAACGCGUGGGUAACCUGCCUUAUACAGGGGGAUAACAGUUAGAAAUGACUGCUAAUACCGCAUAAGCGCACAGGAUUGCAUGAUCUGGUGUGAAAAACUCCGGUGGUAUAAGAUGG